CACAUGCAAGUCGAGGGGCAUCACGGAAAAGCUUGCUUUUCUGGUGGCGACCGGCGCACGGGUGCGGAACGCGUAUGGAACCUGCCCCUGUCAGGGGAAUAGCCCAGGGAAACUUGGAUUAAUGCCCCAUGGUACCGCGAUAUCGCAUGAUAUUGCGGUUAAAGAUUUAUCGGACAGGGAUGGCCAUGCGUACCAUUAGUUAGUUGGUGGGGUAACGGCCCACCAAGGCAGCGAUGGUUAGGGGCCCUGAGAGGGGGAUCCCCCACACUGGUACUGAGACACGGACCAGACUCCUACGGGAGGCAGCAGUGAGGAAUAUUGGACAAUGGGCGGGAGCCUGAUCCAGCCAUGCCGCGUGCAGGAUGACGGCCCUAUGGGUUGUAAACUGCUUUUAUACGGGAAGAAAUGCGCCCACGUGUGGGCGUCUGACGGUACCGUAAGAAUAAGGACCGGCUAACUCCGUGCCAGCAGCCGCGGUAAUACGGAGGGUCCGAGCGUUAUCCGGAAUCAUUGGGUUUAAAGGGUCCGUAGGCGGGCCUGUAAGUCAGGGGUGAAAGUUUGUGGCUCAACCAUAAAAUUGCCUUUGAUACUGCAGGUCUUGAGUCAUGGUGGGGUCGCCGGAACAUGUGGUGUAGCGGUGAAAUGCAUAGAUAUCACAUAGAACACCGAUCGCGAAGGCAGGUGGCCAACCAUGUACUGACGCUGAUGGACGAAAGCGUGGGUAGCGAACGGGAUUAGAUACCCCGGUAGUCCACGCCGUAAACGAUGGAUACUAGCUGUGGGGACUUCGGUCUCCGUGG
rnacentral:rRNA from 1 species